AAGAUUAAGCUAAUUAUUAUUGUAGUUUAUUGGCUAAGAUAAAGUAGUGUUAGGAAUGGAUAUAUGUAUGGUUGACUAAUGACUUUUAUUAGAAGAUACUUAUGUAGGAUAUAAUAUUGUAGUUUUUC